GGGUUAUUUUUCAACCGUUUCGGUGCAUGGAGGCGCUUUCUCGGCGUCCCAAAAUCCCCGCGUCACGCCUUCUCCAACCCUCCUCUUUGGGGCCGCUCCGGACCGGGACGGGGACCCGGGGACGUCAGGGAAGGAGCGGAGCUCCCAGGGCAAGGCAGAGGCAGCCCCGUCUCGCGCCAGUGAAGUGAUGCCUCAGUCAGGUUGUGUUUGAAGAAUUUCUGGGGCUAUUGUGACGACUGAGGGCAAGGAAGGGAAAACAGAAGCAAAGAAAACCAUCUCAAAAGUCCUGGAUUUGCUGCUGUUAAAAGGCUGCUAUUCAUUUCUGAUUUCCUCAUCCUUUGCUACAAAGGAAAAAGAAAUCUAAUGAUGUGUCUGCAUUUGAUGAGAAGAAAACACUAACAGCAACAGUGACGGUGAACUUGUUUUAUUUUCUUUUUCCCUGAAAAAAAAAAAAGAUUUUUAAUACCCACCAGUUUAGCACGUUGAAA